GCAGUCGCCGCGGGAAUACGAAGGGUGCAAGCGUUACUCGGAAUUACUGGGCGUAAAGCGUGCGUAGGUGGUGGUUUAAGUCCGUUGUGAAAGCCCUGGGCUCAACCUGGGAAUUGCAGUGGAUACUGGGUCACUAGAGUGUGGUAGAGGAUAGUGGAAUUUCCGGUGUAGCAGUGAAAUGCGUAGAGAUCGGAAGGAACAUCUGUGGCGAAGGCGACUAUCUGGGCCAACACUGACACUGAGGCACGAAAGCGUGGGGAGCAAACAGGAUUAGAUACCCCUGUAGUCCCUGUCUCUUAUA
rnacentral:rRNA from 1 species